ensembl:lncRNA
UAGGAAGGAUUUACUGAACUAAGUCUUCCCCUUUCUGGAAGCAUGCGUGAAGGGCCAUUGAGGCAACGGUAGAAAAGCUGUCCUGUUUUCAAAGGUCUCCCAACAAGGAGGCAAAGCACUUUCCAGGUUUGGGGAUCAGCACUUUUUCAAGGCCACUGCAUUCCAUGCUCUUGGUUGUGAUACGAUGGGCGCUCUGCCGCCCCCUCUGGCCUGGCUGGCCUCGAUGCUCCUCUGGUCCAGUCUCUGGGCUGGAAACCACAGCUGGCCCUUCCUGAAAUGACUCAAUAUCCAACUUGGACACAGCUCCAGUCUCCUCCCUGCCACCUCCAGGCAACCAGUCCCGCAGGACCAAGCUAGGACCACAGAGGUCCCAGCUUUUCUCAGAAAGAUCCCUCUGCUGACCAAGGAUGGCCACGCCAGAAAUUCUGCAAAAUGCAAGAGCAAGCACUUUCAAGCCGGAGUUUCGUGUUUCCUGUCCCUGCGGGCUCAUUCUGCCAAACUUCACGAUACCAGAUGGAAGCAGCCAACCUAAAUGAGGGGACUGGAGGAGCAAACCUCGCUCAAGGAAAUCAGAGAUCAACUGGAAUCAAUCCUCGGGCUAUGGAAAGGAGUAACGCAAACAAAACACAGGUUGUGUGUAUGUUUGUGUAUGGGGGGGGCUGGUUGCCAUGACACAAAGGGCCACACCCACCAAGGCUGGGCUGAAACAGGGAUGAGGCUCUGAGACAGAAACUUGCGUAAACAGCCAAUCCUCUAGGAGAGGCCCCCCCCCCCCCACUGCAGUAGAACAACUGCCUAGUAAUGAGGAGACCCCCAGCUGAGGACACCAGCUUCUGAACAGUGGCUGAGCUGCUCUUUCUAGGCAUUAACUCCAGAAAUUGGAGAUGAGGAAACCAGAGCAAACUGGAGGUCAGCUUGGAGGUUGUGUCCAUCGCUGAACCAAUCAGUUGGGUAAGAGGAUUGUGUACCCGGAACGCCAGCCUGGAUGGUCUUAUUCAAUCCUCACAACAACUUUCUAAGUGAGCGAGGAAGGCUGUGUCAAUAUGGGGGUGCACCACGGGGUCUCCACAUGGAGAGCAGCUGCAGAGAGUCACCACACGUGCAACAAGGCUUUGUGUCAGAUCCCAUCCAGGCAGUACAACAUUACAUUUUGUCAUUGCAUCCCCUUAAGGACAUGACAGUUUCUCCGACUGUCCUUGCUUUUGAGCACCUUGACAGCUGUAAGGAGUGCUGGUCAGCUACCCUCCAAAGCACCAUGUUAAUUGACCACCAAAGACCCAUUUUCAACUCCCUUCUCCGUUGCUCUCUUCCAACUGUAGAAGCUGAAAAAGUGACAUUUUCCAGCCUCCUUUGUGGCUCAAAAUGGUCAUGUUACCCAGUUCUGGCUAACAAGAUGUAAGAAAAGUUUGCUGGGAGUUGUAGGGGUUGUGAGGGUUUUGGGGAGUGGAGAUGGGAAAGCGUCUGAGGAAGAUUUUUCAUCCCUGAUCAAAUAAGAAAAGCACAUGAAGAGAGCUCUUUCCACUUUGACCAUCACACUACAUCCUGACUUUGGAGGAAAUCUUAAGAAGAUGUGAUAUCUGGAGCUGUGGCAGCCAUCUUACAACCAUAAGGGGGAAGAUAGAGAGAAUUUGGACACUGACCCAGAGCCCUGGCAUCUAGGAGUUGCAAAGCCAGCCUGAUAACUGCCCACCUCUAUACUUCUUAGUAAGCAACUCUCCUUAUGGUUUAAGUCCCUAUUAGUCAGAGUUUCUAUUAUUUGCAGAAAACACAGAGGCUCUGUUAUAGGCCCUGUGAGAGUUGGUGGGCAGGCAUCAUCCUUAGAGUACAGAUGAGACCUAGAGAGGUUGGGGACUUGCCUGAGAUGUCCUGAUAUGGAAAGACACGUUAUCCCAGGGUGGCUGAGCAAAGAGUGAGUGUGGCUGCAGAUAAGACAGGGGAUGACCUGGGGUGGGGGUGGACAUCUGGAACACCAGGAGAGGAGUAGAAAGCCACUGCAUUUCUGUACUUGAAGGAAGAGUUAGUGGGAGGAGGCACAGGGAAGGUUCGGGGCACUUUGGCCAGAAAGCAGACAUGCAGACUUGCAGGUGGAACAACAAAGGGCAGCCCGCCUCCAGCAGAGACUUCCUCGUGGCUGCCUCCAGAGAGCCUGCAGGAAGGAAGGAAAGGCAGUGGCUGGGAUUCAACGUAGACUAAAAGGACCUAAAUUUAGACCAGACAUCCAGGGAGACGCUAGGAAAUCCACUCGAGAUGAUCUCUCGCUCUGCAACGCUUUGCCCUAUAAUGGCCCAGCUGGCUAGUUUCUCAUGUGGCACCCCAGCUGUCCUUCGUGGUAGACAGGGGUGCGAAUGUUCACUUAGAGGUGAGACAGCAAUGACACAAAGCCACACGGGGGAUCAAAGGCGAGAACCCUGGG